GACGAACGCUGGCGGCGUGCUUAACACAUGCAAGUCGAACGGAAAGGCCCUGCUUUUGUGGGGUGCUCGAGUGGCGAACGGGUGAGUAACACGUGAGUAACCUGCCCUUGACUUUGGGAUAACUUCAGGAAACUGGGGCUAAUACCGGAUAGGAGCUCCUGCUGCAUGGUGGGGGUUGGAAAGUUUCGGCGGUUGGGGAUGGACUCGCGGCUUAUCAGCUUGUUGGUGGGGUAGUGGCUUACCAAGGCUUUGACGGGUAGCCGGCCGGAGAGGGUGACCGGCCACAUUGGGACUAGGAGACGGCCAGGCCCCCUACGGGCGCCAGCGGGGGGAAUUAUGCCACAAGGGGCGGACGCUGAAGGCAGCACCCCCGCGGGGGGGAGACCGCCCUGCGGUUUGUAAACCUCUUCCGCCGGUGAAGAGCGGGGGGGGAGGGUAAGGGAUAAAAAAGCACCGGCUAACUACGUG
rnacentral:rRNA from 1 species